GGCUCAGAUUGAACGCUGGCGGCAUGCCUUACACAUGCAAGUCGAACGGCAGCACGGACUUCGGUCUGGUGGCGAGUGGCGAACGGGUGAGUAAUGUAUCGGAACGUACCUUCAGUGGGGAUAACGUAGCGAAAGUUACGCUAAUACCGCAUAUUCUGUGAGCAGGAAAGCAGGGGAUCGCAAGACCUUGGGCGCUGAUUGAGCGGCCGAUAUCAGAUUAGCUAGUUGGUGAGGUAAAGGCUCACCAAGGCGACGAUCUGUAGCGGGUCUGAGAGGAUGAUCCGCCACACUGGAGCUGAGACACGGUCCAGACUCCUACGGGAGGCAGCAGUGGGGAAUUUUGGACAAUGGGGGCAACCCUGAUCCAGCCAUGCCGCGUGAGUGAAGAAGGCCUUCGGGUUGUAAAGCUCUUUCGGCCGGGAAGAAAUCGCAUGGGCUAAUACCCUGUGCGGAUGACGGUACCGGCAUAAGAAGCACCGGCUAACUACGUG
rnacentral:rRNA from 1 species